UACGUAGGGUGCAAGCGUUAAUCGGAAUUACUGGGCGUAAAGCGUGCGCAGGCGGUUAUUUAAGACAGGCGUGAAAGCCCCGGGCUUAACCUGGGAGGUGCGCUUGUGACUGGAUAGCUAGAGUACGGCAGAGGGGGGUGGAAUUCCACGUGUAGCAGUGAAAUGCGUAGAGAUGUGGAGGAACACCGAUGGCGAAGGCAGCCCCCUGGGCUAGUACUGACGCUCAGGCACGAAAGCGUGGGGAGCAAACAGG
rnacentral:rRNA from 1 species